rnacentral:tRNA from 1 species
GAUGGUAUAGCUCGGUGGUAGAGUGCACGUGUGCAUGCAUGAGGUCCUGGGUUCAAUCCCCGGUACCUCCA